CGACUCUCGGCAACGGAUAUCUCGGCUCUCGCAUCGAUGAGGAACGUAGCAAAUGCGAUACUUGGUGUGAAUUGCAGAAUCCCGUGAACCAUCGAGUCUUUGAACGCAAGUUGCGCCCCAAGCCUUCUGGCCGAGGGCACGUCUGCCUGGGUGUCACAA
rnacentral:rRNA from 1 species